rnacentral:rRNA from 1 species
AAGCCAUGCGAGUCGCACGUUUCCUAUCCACGGUGGAAACGUGGCAUACGGCUCAGUAAAACACGAUCAACCUACCCUUAAGACGGAUACAAACUCGGGAAACUGAGGCUAAUAUUCGAUAGUGAGAAUUGCUUGGAAUUAGCGUCUCGCCAAAAGGGUGUUGGAGCCAUGCUUCUGAUACUGCUUAAGGAUGGGAUCAUGCCCGAUCAGGCUGUUGGUGAUGUAACGGAUCACCAAACCUAUAACCGGCACGGGCCGUGAGAGCGGGAGCCCGGAGAUGGUCCCUGAGACAAGGGUCCAGGCCCUACGGGGCGCACAGGCGCGAAAACUCCGCAAUGCGCGAAAGCGUGACGGGGUCACCCCGAGUGCCACCUGCAGAAGGUGGCUUUUCCUCGGUAUAAUCAGCCGGGGGAAUAAGGGGAGGGCAAGCCUGGUGUCAGCCGCCGCGGUAAUACCAGCUCCCCGAGUGGUGAGGACGAUUAUUGGGCCUAAAGCAUCCGUAGCCGGUCUAGUAAGUUUCUCGUCAAAUCUGGCGAUCCAAUCGUCAGACCGCGGGAAAUACUGCUAGCUAGGGGCGGAAGAGGCCGACGGUACUCUUAGGUAGGGUGAAAUCCUAUAAUCCCGAGAGGACCACCAGUGGCGAAGGCGGUCGGCCAGAACGCGCCCGACGGUGAGGGAUGAAAGCUGGGGGAGCGAACCGGAUUAAUACCCGGGUAUCCCAGCUGUAAACGAUGCGAGCUAAGUGUCAGGAUGGCUUUAAAGUCAUUCUGGUGCUGCAGGGAAGCCGAUAAGCUCGCCGCCUGGGGAAGUACGGUUGCAGGUGAAACUUAAGGAAUUGGCGGGGGGACACCACAGGGGUGAAGCUUGCGGUUUAAUUGGAGUCAACGCCGGG